UAGGAUAACCUCGCCAGCUGUGUUCAAUCUGAGAAUCCAUUUGGAUCAUGAUUUUCUACCCAGAAUGAGAGAAAUCAAGUUUGCUUGGCAGCUUCCUAUGGUACAUGACACAGAUCACAGACGACUGAUCGGUAUCCCAGGCAACCAGAAUGGACACUGCCGGUUCCUGGCCCCUUGGUGUUCCUGACAGUUUGAACUCAUCUGGAGCGGGCAUCCAUAGCCACACGCUGACUGACUCUGGGAAGCCAUGUGACAACCCUACCCGUGGUGCUUCCUCGUUUUCUUUUAGUACCAUUUGGGCAUGCGGAGGUUGGGAAGCCAGAAAACGGCACGUGGCUCACACUUCAGUUAUCUGCAUGAACACCAUGGAUUUAAUGGCAUGAACAUUUACAUUGCAAAAAUUUUAAACUCAACUUCUUAAAUCCUGUAUAAGAUGUGAUCCUACUCUAACAGCAAUUUCUCCGACUGAACUGAUUGCUAAAUAGCCAACAUCAAGAUAAAGAAUCUCUGUUUGCCAAAGAUGUUCAAAGGGCUACAUGACAAAAUUAGUCAGUGCUGACUGGCUUUCUGAGUUGUAUUAGACAGUAACGAGCCCAUCGCCUAAUGAGGAAGGCCAGCCCCUCCCUGGAGGGCGGCCGCAGCACGGACAGCCCGUGUUCAGGCGCGCACAUACGUGUCUCCCAUGCGUGUCUCCAGCACAGGGUGGCUGGGGAGUUCAGAGAUCUGACUUCUGGGCCACACCUAACCCUCCACCCCCUGAACGAUUCAGAAAAACAAUCUACUCAAGCAAGUGCUUCUCUUUGCCUAAUUACUAACAAAAAUCUCAAAGCAUUUUGAAAAAAGUCCUAGCUGAUGAUUGGACACCUUCUAUCACUGGCCUCUGUCGGGUCCAUUCAACUUCUGUUUCCUAGGAAUCUGGAUGUUUUCAAGGUCGGAGGGCCAAGCAAAACCAGAGGUGGUGCAGGCUACUGGUCAGGCACAGGCUCUGGAAUCAGACCUUUUUUUGAUCACUUACUAGCUGUGCUACCAUAAGCGAAUUUUUAUGCCUGUUAAGCUUGUUUCCUCAAUGUAACCUGGAUGGCUAAUUCGUCUUCAGAGAUGCGGUGUAUGUUUUAAUUAACCACUUCGGUACGAGUGUUGACUGUAGUCGACAGACACAGAUGAACGCACACAACCGAGUGUUGACUUUAGUCUAUGAUUUUGAAUUGACUUUUCUAAUUUUUCAUUUAUCAAAAUAAAAUUGUGAACAUUUAAAUAUAACG